UACGAAGGUGGCAAGCGUUGUUCGGAUUUACUGGGCGUACAGGGAGCGUAGGUGGUUGGGUAAGCCCUCCGUGAAAACUCCAGGCUUAACCUGGAAAGUGCAGAGGGUACUGCCUAGCUAGAGGACGGGAGAGGAGCGCGGAAUUCCCGGUGUAGCGGUGAAAUGCGUAGAGAUCGGGAGGAGGGCCGGUGGCGAAGGCGGCGCUCUGGAACGUUCCUGACACUGAGGCUCGAAAGCGUGGGGAGCAAACAGGAUUAGAAACCCUUGUAGU
rnacentral:rRNA from 1 species